rnacentral:misc_RNA from 1 species
GUAGGUGAACCUGCGGAGGGAUCAUUAUUGUUGAAAUCCUCGAAAGUGCGCUCCGGCGCGCGAACCGAGGCCUUCCCCCCGCCCGGCAAAUGCACCCUUCCUCGGAAGGUGUGCGCCGGGGUCAGCGGGGAGGGGUUACAACAAACACUUUGCCGUCCAACCAUGUUGCCUCGGGGGAGACCCCGCCUUCGGGCGGGUGGCACCCCGGUGGACACAACCAAACUCUUGCAUAACAAUGUAGUCUGAGUGAUUUAAACAAUAAAUCAAAACUUUCAACAACGGAUCUCUUGGUUCUG